UAAAACAAUAAACAGAAACUAUUAUGAAGUUAUACUUCAUUGAUGCCUCAAAGUUGAGACCACUUCACAAGAAGAUAAAACAGCUAUCAGGAACAAAGUAACAACCAAAUGCAAAAUCAAACUGAGAGACCCAAAUCGGAAGGAUUAAUGGAUUAUGGACCAAAGUAACAACCAAAUGCAAAAUCAAACUGAGAGACCCA
rnacentral:lncRNA from 1 species